rfam:Echinops telfairi cont1.407163, whole genome shotgun sequence.
CUGAGGGUGCCCACCUUGGGGCCCUUGGGAGCAGCAGGUCUCCCACGUGGGAGACAAGCCACCCUGUUUAAUAUUUAAACGGCAGUGUUCCCU